rnacentral:rRNA from 1 species
GAUGAACGCUGGCGGCGUGCCUAAUACAUGCAAGUCGAGCGAACAGAUGAGGAGCUUGCUCCUCUGACGUUAGCGGCGGACGGGUGAGUAACACGUGGAUAACCUACCUAUAAGACUGGGAUAACUUCGGGAAACCGGAGCUAAUACCGGAUAAUAUAUUGAACCGCAUGGUUCAAUAGUGAAAGACGGUCUUGCUGUCACUUAUAGAUGGAUCCGCGCCGCAUUAGCUAGUUGGUAAGGUAACGGCUUACCAAGGCAACGAUGCGUAGCCGACCUGAGAGGGUGAUCGGCCACACUGGAACUGAGACACGGUCCAGACUCCUACGGGAGGCAGCAAUAGGGAAUCUUCCGCAAUGGGCGAAAGCCUGACGGAGCAACGCCGCGUGAGUGAUGAAGGUCUUCGGAUCGUAAAACUCUGUUAUUAGGGAAGAACAAAUGUGUAAGUAACUAUGCACGUCUUGACGGUACCUAAUCAGAAAGCCACGGCUAACUACGU